rnacentral:rRNA from 1 species
AUUGAACGCUGGCGGCAGGCCUAACACAUGCAAGUCGAGCGAGCGGCGGACGGGUGAGUAAUGUAUGGGGACUGCCCGAUAGAGGGGGAUAACUACUGGAAACGGUGGCUAAUACCGCAUACUAUCGGAUAACCCAUAGGGGAUUAGCUAGUAGGUGGGGUAAAGGCUCACCUAGGCGACGAUCGCUAGCUGGUCCGAGAGGAUGAUCGGCCAAACGGGGACUGAGACACGGCCCAGACUCCUACGGAGGCAGCAGUGGGGAAUAUUGCACAAUGGGCGAAAGACUGAUGCAGCCAUGCCGCGUGUAUGAAGAAGGCCUUAGGGUUGUAAAGUACUUUAAGCGGGGAGGCGUUACCCGCAGAAGAAGCACCGGCUAACUACGUGCCAGCAGCCGCGGUAAUUC